GUGGGUACUAGGUGUGGGUUUCCUUCCUUGGGAUCCGUGCCGUAGCUAACGCAUUAAGUACCCCGCCUGGGGAGUACGGCCGCAAGGCUAAAACUCAAAGGAAUUGACGGGGGCCCGCACAAGCGGCGGAGCAUGUGGAUUAAUUCGAUGCAACGCGAAGAACCUUACCUGGGUUUGACAUGCACAGGACGCUGGUAGAGAUAUCAGUUCCCUUGUGGCCUGUGUGCAGGUGGUGCAUGGCUGUCGUCAG
rnacentral:rRNA from 1 species